rnacentral:tRNA from 1 species
CAAAAAAUAGUUUUAAUUAAAAUACCGGCCCUGGGAGUCGGUGAUGGGAGUUGAAAUCCCCCUUUUUUGG